rnacentral:rRNA from 1 species
GUCGGGAGUCUUGCACAAUGGGGGAAACCCUGAUGCAGCGACGUCGCGUGUGGGAUGAAGUAUUUCGGUAUGUAAACCACUUUUGCGGGGGGCGAAAAAAAUGACGGUACCCCGCGAAUAAGCCCCGGCUAACUACGUGCCAGCAGCCGCGGUAAUACGUAGGGGGCGAGCGUUGCUCGGAUUGACUGGGCGUAAAGCGCGCGUAGGCGGUCCAUUAAGUGUGCGGUGAAAUGCGUAGAUAUUAGGAGGAACACCAGUGGCGAAGGCGGCUUACUGGACUGUAACUGACGUUGAGGCUCGAAAGCGUGGGGAGCAAACAGGAUUAGAUACCCGGGUAGUCC